UUACGGGGUGCAGCAGGCGCGAAAACUUCACAAUGGGCGAAAGCCCGAUGAGGGAAUUCCCUAGUGCUAGCAUUUUGUGUUAGCUUUUCACUUAGCGUAGAUAACGGGCUGGGAUAAAGGGCAUGCGGGCAGCCGCCGCGGUAACAC
rnacentral:rRNA from 1 species